UACGUAGGGUGCGAGCGUUGUCCGGAAUUAUUGGGCGUAAAGAGCUCGUAGGCGGUUUGUCGCGUCGACUGUGAAAACCUACAGCUUAACUGUGGGCUUGCAGUCGAUACGGGCAGUCUUGAGUUCGGUAGGGGAGACUGGAAUUCCUGGUGUAGCGGUGAAAUGCGCAGAUAUCAGGAGGAACACCGGUGGCGAAGGCGGGUCUCUGGGCCGUAACUGACGCUGAGGAGCGGAAGCGUGGGGAGCGAACAGG
rnacentral:rRNA from 1 species